rnacentral:lncRNA from 1 species
UACGAAAAAAUCACUGGAAAUAUAUUCAAGCUAUAUAUUGUGGAACGGUACUAUCUACAUACAUAUAGUCUUUUAUUGUAGAAAUAUUAAAAUGCAACAACAUGCUAAGCAACUUAAACAUCAUCUCUUUGGUUUUAUUAUAAUAGAACAUAUUCUGGGAUUUAACUGGCCUGAACAGCAAAACCGACCAAUAUAGCACCGUGGUGCAAGAAGACUAACUAGCUACUGGUGGCGGAGGAGGGCCAGGUACUGGUGGUGGGGGAGGGCCAGGACAUUUGAUACACUUUGCACACAAGCAUUUAAUUGCGGUGGUGAAACAAGCAACAUAGCAGGUACCCCUAUUUGCGAUAGGGCCAGAUCUGCAUGCAGCUGUACAGCUAGAUAUAGAGGUUUCGCAAUCCCUAAGACAUACCAGGAUAUCUGUUUGUGCAUAAGUAGUUGUUGUACUGCUUGAAACCAUAACCAUCACAAACAUUAGCACUAGCGC